AUAGUGAGCUCUUGUCUUUGUAAGAGUCUCAUUUUCAUUGAAUUAUUAAUAAAUAAGCUUUUGCAUUCUUAAACUCUACUGUAACUUGCACACUCAAGGCUGCAAAAAUGGAUCGAUAUUGGUUAGAAUAUGUAUACAUGACAAUGUUCUUUUGUUUCCCAUUUUCUGUAUGUAAAAAAUGACAUGAGCAACCCACUAAAAGCAAAGGAGACAUUGGGAGGUGUAAACUCUACCAUCAGAGAUUGAUUAGGUAGGGUUCAUUCUACGUUCGAUGAAGGUAAAUAUAAUUAAGAAAAAGAGAUUCAAAAGA